rnacentral:lncRNA from 1 species
CUCAAAUGUGCCAAGAUAUUUCCAACAUCAGGACAUUUGAUCCCUUGCACAUUGCUGUUUUCCCAGUCUUUGAGCUCACAUGUCACCUCCCAGAUCUGGCCCUGUCUAGGUGGGGAAUUCAUGUGGAGUUUUCUGUUUUCUAGGCUGAGCCAUGCAGGAUUCAUCAGUCUGUCCCAGGGAACUUCCUGGGAUGGUUGUCUGGGUUAGUUUCCUCCCUGGGCUUGGGUUGGCCAAGGAGAGGAGAGAAAGACUUCAUUGAAACCUCUUGCAAAUAUUUUUAAAGAAGAGAAAGGAAAGCAAGAGGCCGCUGGCUGGGAGCAGCACUCUAGCCAUCGAUUGGGUAAUUGGAAGCCCUCGGGUGUGAGUCCUCAUUAAGGCAGAGGGCUAUGAAUCAUUUUCUAAUGACACCUCUUCGAUCCCAGCAGCUCAGCAUGCAGCCUGCCUCCACGGUUGGGCUGCAAGCCAGGGGAGCCGCGGGGUCUGCAACCAGGCUGCCUGCCAUAUGUUGUUUCUUGCAAUUAGCAGGUGCUUGGGGUGUGGGCUGGGCACCCAGAGGGCAAGGCGACUGCCUCUGCCAGGGAAACUCUCGUGAGCCAUACCAAGAGCUCAGGAAGAGAAACAAGGUGGCUGGGGGUUGAUGGGCAACCCCCAGGGCCAGUAAGAUGUGCUGGUCACGAAAGAAAUCUCUGUUUGCAGACAGUUUUAUUCCUGUACAGGUAUUUACAGCUUGCUACUGCAAAUUGAUGGAUCUUUAUUUCUGGAACUGUAGUCAUUCUUGCAGGUCCGUCGGUGCAGACAUUUUGGGAUAGUCCUUUGAUGUCUAUCAUCACACUAUGGAAGAGUGAGCAAAGCUUUCCCAGAAGUUCUGCAGCAGAAUUUCCAUCGUAUUUCAAUGACCAGAGCUGAGUCAUGUGCUUGUGCUUUGAAGAUUGCUUGACAAUGAGAAAAUCACUGUCUGCAGCAUGGAAAAAGAUCCUCACCAGAACCAGAUCAUGUUGGCACCCGAAUCUUGGACUUCCAGCUUCCAGAACUCUAAACAAGCACUGGCCUCAAGAUAAGCAAUAUUAAAACAAUUACAGCUCAUCCAGCUGGCAGAUGCUGAUUAACUGACCCCCUGUUUCACCAGCCACAACUACAGCUUGGAUUGGACAAGGAACUGAUUUCAGUAACUUUCUCCUGAUAAGAAGACCAGCGACCAUGGACUGCUUCUGGCCAAUUUACAGAGAUUGUGGACUCGUAUGCUUUCAUGUCCUGAAAAGACCCUUUGAUGCAUAGGGCCUAAUUAUAAUACAGUUAAAUGUUGUAUCUCCACCCCAAAGUGAACAUGGGUCAUAUGUCACAUGCAUGUGUGUUAAACACACAUGCAUCAGGACCUCCUUCAUGAAUAUUCAUAGCUUCUCCUGUAACCUGUUGAAUAUGUAUGUUUAGCCAAAACAUUUACCAUAAAUAUCUUACCUCAACCCCUCCUUCAAAGUGCUUCUCUCUGGGCUGUUGGCCAGAGGCUGUGCUUCUCAGCCUGCGGAAUGGCCACUUUGUAGGCUGUAACCCUUUGCAAUAAAUAAAACCUCCCUCUUUUCUUUUCUAAAUUUAUAUAUUGUGAUUUUUUUUUUUUUUUUUUAGCUAACAUUACAGACUUGGGGGUAGAAUGGGAACUGCCUUCCAAGACUUUGUUAUUGGCUGAAUUCUGUACCCCCAAAAGUCAUAUGUUGAAGUCCUGACCCCCAGUACCUCAGACUGUGAAUAUAUUUGGUGAUAUGGUCUGUAAAGAAGUAAAUAAGUUAAAAAUGAGGCUAUCAGGGUCAGCCCUAAUUCAAUAAGACUGGUUGUCUUGUAAGAAGAGAUUAAGACGCACACAUACACAGAGACAAGAUGACCAUCUACAAGCUAAGGAGGGAGGCAUCAGAAGAAACCAGUUCUGCUGACACCUUGAUCUCAGACUCCCAGCCUCCAGACUUGUGAGACAAUAAAAAGUCUAUUGUUUAAGCCAC